rnacentral:rRNA from 1 species
UACAGAGGGUGCGAGCGUUGUUCGGAAUUAUUGGGCGUAAAGGGCGCGUAGGCGGUGCGGUAAGUCACCUGUGAAAUCUCCUGGCUCAACUGGGAGCUUGCAGGCGAAACUGCCGUGCUGGAGUGUGGGAGAGGUGCGUGGAAUUCCCGGUGUAGCGGUGAAAUGCGUAGAUAUCGGGGAGGAACACCUGUGGCGAAGGCGGGUCUCUGGGCAGUAACUGACGCUGAGGAGCGAAAGCGUGGGGAGCGAACAGG